AGUGCGAAUAUUGCACAAUAGGAGCAUGCCUGAUGCAGCGACGCCUCAUGAGGGAUGAAGGCCUCGGGUUGUAAACCUCUUUCAGCAGGGAAGAAGCGCAACUGACGGUACCAGCAUAUGUAGAGCUGUCUAGCUACUUGCCAGCAGUCGUGGUAAUAUGUAGGGCGCAAGCAUUGUCUGGAAUUGUUGGGCGUAAAGAGCUCGUAGGCGGUUUGUCGCGUCUGCUGUGAAAACUCGAGGCUCAACCUCGGGCUUGCAGUGGGUACGGGCAGACUAGAGUGCGGUAGGGGAGACUGGAAUUCCUGGUGUAGCGGUGGAAUGCGCAGAUAUCAGGAGGAACACCGAUGGCGAAGGCAGGUCUCUGGGCCGCAACUGACGCUGAGGAGCGAAAGCAUGGGGAGCGAACAGGAUUAGAUACCCUGGUAGUCCAUGCCGUAAACGUUGGGCACUAGGUGUGGGGCUCAUUCCACGAGUUCCGUGCCGCAGCAAACGCAUUAAGUGCCCCGCCUGGGGAGUACGGCCGCAAGGCUAAAACUCAAAGAAAUUGACGGGGGCCCGCACAAGCGGCGGAGCAUGCGGAUUAAUUCGAUGCAACGCGAAGAACCUUACCAAGGCUUGACAUACACCGGAAACUUCCAGAGAUGGUUGCCCCGCAAGGUCGGUGUACAGGUGGUGCAUGGUUGUCGUCAGCUCGUGUCGUGAGAUGUUGGGUUAAGUCCCGCAACGAGCGCAACCCUCGUCCUAUGUUGCCAGCGGGUCAUGCCGGGGACUCAUAGGAGACUGCCGGGGUCAACUCGGAGGAAGG
rnacentral:rRNA from 1 species